UACGGGGGGGGCAAGCGUUGUUCGGAAUUACUGGGCGUAAAGGGCUCGUAGGCGGCCAACUAAGUCAGACGUGAAAUCCCUCGGCUUAACCGGGGAACUGCGUCUGAUACUGGAUGGCUAGAGGUUGGGAGAGGGAUGCGGAAUUCCAGGUGUAGCGGUGAAAUGCGUAGAUAUCGGGAGGAACACCAGUGGCGAAGGCGGCGAUCUGGGAAGAUACUGACGCUGAGGUGCGAAAGCGUGGGGAGCAAACAGG
rnacentral:rRNA from 1 species